rnacentral:rRNA from 1 species
AUUGAACGCUGGCGGCAGGCCUAACACAUGCAAGUCGAGCGAGCGGCGGACGGGUGAGUAAUGUCUGGGAAACUGCCUGAUGGAGGGGGAUAACUACUGGAAACGGUAGCUAAUACCGCAUACCAUCAGAUGUGCCCAUAUGGGAUUAGCUUGUUGGUGGGGUAACGGCUCACCAAGGCGACGAUCCCUAGCUGGUCUGAGAGGAUGAUCAGCCACACGGGGACGGAGACACGGUCCAGACUCCUACGGGAGGCAGCAGUGGGGAAUAUUGCACAAUGGGCGCAAGCCUGAUGCAGCCAUGCCGCGUGUAUGAAGAAGGCCUUCGGGUUGUAAAGUACUUUCAGUGGGGAGGCGUUACCCGCAGAAGAAGCACCGGCUAACUCCGUGCCAGCCGCCGCGGUAAUUC